CCUACGGGAGGCAGCAGUGGGGAAUAUUGGGCAAUGGACGCAAGUCUGACCCAGCAACGCCGCGUGAAGGAAGAAGGCUUUCGGGUUGUAAACUUCUUUUAUGGGGGUAGAGGAGAAGACGGUACCCCUUGAAUAAGCCACGGCUAACUACGUGCCAGCAGCCGCGGUAAUACGUAGGUGGCAAGCGUUGUCCGGAUUUACUGGGUUUAAAGGGCGUGUAGCCGGGCCGACAAGUCAGAUGUGAAAUCGGCGGGCUUAACCCGCGAACUGCAUUUGAUACUAUAGGUCUUGAGUGUCGGAGAGGG
rnacentral:rRNA from 1 species